UACGUAGGGGGCGAGCGUUGUCCGGAAUCAUUGGGCGUAAAGCGCGUGUAGGCGGCCCGGUAAGUCCGCUGUGAAAGUCCAGGGCUCAACCCUGGGAUGCCGGUGGAUACUGUCGGGCUCGAGUCCGGAAGAGGCGAGUGGAAUUCCUGGUGUAGCGGUGAAAUGCGUAGAUAUCGGGAGGAACACCUGAGGCGAAGGCGGGCUACUGGGCCGAUACUGACGGCUGAUGCGCGAAAGCCAGGGAGCAAACGGG
rnacentral:rRNA from 1 species